rnacentral:lncRNA from 1 species
CAACAUGGGAAGCAUAAGAUGUGAAAUAAAGUGUAAUCAAAAUCUAGAGAAGGCAUGUAAAUGAUACCGAGAGUGGAAUGAAACCACUUGUGGAAAUACUUAUAGAUUUGCAGGGGAAGCUUAUUAUCUUUCUCCUGGAGACUCCAUUUUCCUUCAAUAAGACUACUACACACAUGUCACACCCGGGUUUCGGGAGCACCAAGACCCGGGCGCGAACAUAAUCACCAAGUGUGCUGAGACCAAGUCUCACACAUAUGAUGACUCAUGGUACAGAAACUAAUGUCACAACCUUAAUAUAUAACGGAGUUCUGUACAAAAUAGUUAAAUAAUUACAUCAUAUGAAGACAACGAUCCAACAACCCAAAGUUGACUAGGAGACGAUGGCCUAGACCUCUCACGAACACAUCACAGCAUCCUCUUGCGCCUCAUCCUGCGGUGCCAGUUCUUGACCUGUGGGGGGUGUGAGACAGCAAGGGCGAGCUCACAUACGUUCAUCGCUCAACAAGUUGUGGGGAAUAAUGUGCGUUAACUCGCCAAAGGUGGGAGAGUUCAUGUGAAGUGUAAGGCUUACCAAAAAGGAUGGUUAAAGCUGAGCAUUGCUUUUAAAGUUGGUCAAAAUUUUAUUAGCUGUUACUAAGUAUAAGUAGAUACCAAACCAUAGUAAUAAUAGAUCAAAAUCAAUAAUAAACCACAAUGCGAUGCAAAUGAUAAAUUGAAUUUAAUUCCAUAAAUUAAUCAUGCGAGAGUUCUGAGCUGCUCAUGAUCGCGAGCACGGCUAGUAUACCGGUUUUACACUCUGUAGAGGUUGUACCCUUUACCCACAAGUCAUGUCACCCGGUUGCCAAGGGGUCUAGAAGUCCCAUUCAUCUCUCCCGAGGAGACGAGGCAGGGUAACACUACGAGGCCUUUACAAAGUUCCACUAGUUUCAGAAAACCCGUUAUAGUUUCUAGGGAGCGCAAUGCAGGGAUCCCCCGUCGAACCGCCAUCGUAGCAAAAUCAACCCGAGAACCUCCCUACACGCCAACUCCCCUACUGCCCUUGUCCCUUUCGGGUAAGGUAGUCCUCCACUAGCUUUACUAAUUAGUCAACUAAGGGCGUCCCAUUCCACCCUUGUGGUGGCACGUGUUUCUCAAGUUAAUCUCCAUGUUCCAAUUAACACAAUGAUCUUGUCAAGAACAAUAAUUAAAACAACAGUAAAAUUGGAACAUGAUCAUAAUUUAAUAUUAAUCCUAAAACCAGAUAGAGCAAUAGCAUAACUACCCAAAAGUUCAGUGGUAGACAAGGUGUGAGAUAAACAGGUCUAGGGAAACCUAUUAGGUCACAUCAGAUUAACCUGAGCAUGUCACAGUGAUUAACAGGAACAUUGUUGGGUAAAGAAAAGUGAUCAAGGACACAACUUGCCUUAGACUUGAGAUCCCAGGUAGCAGGAUGGUCUUCAGAUUCUCGUGACCUCACUGCUAGUCGUAGCAAUACAAACAAACAUGAUAUAGGCAAAAUUAACAUCACACCAAACAUAAGAAUAAACUGCAUAAUAAUGAUCUACGCGUUACUCCGAGAUCGUGGGUUUGAGAACUACUAAGAUCAGAGUUACGAUUAAGGAGUUAUGGAGGAUCUAUGUGAUUUAGAUAUUAAACUAUAUUAUAAAUUUAUUGGUGCAUAUCAUAUGAGAGAAUAUUCUAUAAAUAAUUAACUCAACUUUAAUCUAAGUUAUUACUUGAUUAAAGAUUAUCUUUUAGUCAAAUUAUAACUAUAAGAUCAGAAUACUAUAUUAAUAUUAGAAAAGCUAAUCCAAUAAACAUAGAUUAAUCAAAUUAGUUACCUAAUUAUAGAAGUAUGUGAUAUCGUAUAAUUAAUGUUGCUACUAUGCAGUAAAUAUUUCUAUGAGGCUAACGCAAUUCAAAUGGAUCAAUUCGGAGUCAAAACGAAGAAGAUAUGGUAUUUGCAAGUUUCUAAGUUUAUUUUUGUACAUAUGAUUUUUAUUUUAAUUAAAACGGUCUCAUGUACUCCGGGUUAUAUUCCCCUGAACUCGAGGGGCUCUUUUGCAAUAGCGUUGGGCCAAAGGGGGAUCGUGUGACCAUAGCCGUAGGAUCAAAAUCACGCGCCCACAAUUAAAUUGGAACCUUUAUGAAUUGGUAUGCAAUGCCAACACUCGGAUUGUGGAUCGAUGGUUUGGAAUGGCUCAUGACCCCCAGGCGCUUCUGGUAUACACGAUCCCGAUCUAACGGUCGUGGGUUUAAAGAGUCUCGACCUAAUCUAGGCUCUCCACUGAGAGAUCGACGAUUCAGAACCAAUCCCGCAGAGUGGACAUCUAUCAUCUAAUCUUAACCGCCCCUUUACGAUCUAACGGCCAGUAGGGUUUCUUCCUCCUCAGACCAAAACAUGGCGGCAGAGACGAGCUUCACAGCGGCGCCGUUACUACGCAUGGCCCAACGGUGCCACAACGUCCAACCUCUAAUGCUAUCCUAGGUAAACGUCGUGGGGAUCAAAGCAAACUGAGUCCAUAAGCUUUACCGGCAAGAGCGACGAUGACCGAUCCGGUCCACGGCGUGGCGUCAACCGCCAACCCCGGCGAGCGCGCCUUGAAGCUCCAGUGGUUGACUUCGGCCGGCAACCCGCUAGGAACGCGCGGCGCGACACGGAUGAUCCCACAAGCUCAAGUCAUGACCCUCCCACCGAUUCGAGACUCCUCCCUUCUCCCUUUCUCUGCUCCCCGUUCGAUCUCCCUCCUUCGCUUCCUCUUGCUCGGAGUUCAUGGCGAGGCGUAGGUAUUCAUGGCCGAGACUUGGGGUUCAAGGGGGGAGUGCCUCCGGUAGUUAUACCCUGGAGCCAUGAAGAUCCGGCAGCAACCUUUGGCUGCAGGGAUUGUUAGUUACUGCUAAGGAGUGGAAGGAGGAGAAGGUAGGAAGAGAGACAGAUGAGAGUUAG